rnacentral:rRNA from 1 species
AGUGAACGCUGGCGGUAGGCCUAACACAUGCCAGUCGAACGGAAGCACAGUAAGAGCUUGCUCUUAUGGGUGGCGAGUGGCGGACGGGUGAGGAAUAUAUCGGAAUCUACUUUUUCGUGGGGGUUAACGUAGGGAAACUUACGCUCAUAUCGCAUACGACCUACGGGUGAAAGCAGGGGAACUUUGCACCUUGUGCGAUUGAAUGAGCCGAUGUGGGAUUGGCUGGUUGGGGGGGUAAAGGCCCACCAAGGGGACGAGCCGUAGCUGGUCUGAGAGGAUGAUCGACCACACGGGAAGUGGAACACGGUCCAGACGCCUAAGGGAGGGAGCAGUGGGGAAUAUGGGACAAUAGGGGCAAGCCUGGUCCAGCCGGACCGCGUGGGAGGAGAAGGCCUUCGGGGUGUAAAGCCCUUUUGUUGGGAAAAAAAAGCAUCAGGUUAAGACCCCGCUGUUCUGACGGUACCCAAAGAAUAAGCACCGGCUAACUUCGUG